CCCCGUAGACGAAAUGUGGAAGACACCUAGGAGGAUCCUGAGUACGGCGGAACACGAGAAAUUCCGUCGGAAUCCGGGAGGACCAUCUCCCAAGGCUAAAUACUCCCUAGUGACCGAUAGUGAACCAGUACCGUGAGGGAAAGGUGAAAAGCACCCCGGAAGGGGAGUGAAAUAGAACCUGAAACCGUGUGCCUACAACAAGUCAAAGCCCGUUAAUGGGUGAUGGCGUGCCUUUUGUAGAAUGAACCGGCGAGUUACGAUUGCAUGCGAGGUUAAGUUGAAGAGACGGAGCCGCAGCGAAAGCGAGUCUGAAUAGGGCGUUUGAGUAUGUAGUCGUAGACCCGAAACCAUGUGAUCUACCCAUGUCCAGGUUGAAGGUGCGGUAAAACGCACUGGAGGACCGAACCCACGUACGUUGAAAAGUGCGGGGAUGAGGUGUGGGUAGCGGAGAAAUUCCAAACGAACUUGGAGAUAGCUGGUUCUCUCCGAAAUAGCUUUAGGGCUAGCCUCGGAAUUGAGAAUGAUGGAGGUAGAGCACUGUUUGGACUAGGGGCCCAUCUCGGGUUACCGAAUUCAGAUAAACUCCGAAUGCCAUUCAUUCAUAUCCGGGAGUCAGACUGUGAGUGAUAAGAUCCAUAGUCGAAAGGGAAACAGCCCAGACCACCAGCUAAGGUCCCAAAAUAUAUGUUAAGUGGAAAAGGAUGUGGGGUUGCACAGACAACUAGGAUGUUGGCUUAGAAGCAGCCACCAUUUAAAGAGUGCGUAAUAGCUCACUAGUCGAGUGACCCUGCGCCGAAAAUGUACCGGGGCUAAACAUAUUACCGAAGCUGUGGAGUACACCUUUAGGUGUAUUGGU
rnacentral:rRNA from 1 species